rnacentral:rRNA from 1 species
CCUACGGGAGGCAGCAGUAGGGAAUCUUCCACAAUGGGCGAAAGCCUGAUGGAGCAAAGCCGCGUGGGUGAAGAAGGUCUUCGGAUCGUAAAACCCUGUUGUUAGAGAAGAAAGUGCGUGAGAGUAACUGUUCACGUUUCGACGGUAUCUAACCAGAAAGCCACGGCUAACUACGUGCCAGCAGCCGCGGUAAUACGUAGGUGGCAAGCGUUAUCCGGAUUUAUUGGGCGUAAAGGGAGCGCAGGCGGUCUUUUAAGGCUGAUGUGAAAUCCUUCGGCUUAACCGGCGUAGUGCAUUGGAAACUGGGAGACUUGAGUGCAGAAGAGGAGAGUGGAACUCCAUGUGUAGCGGUGAAAUGCGUAGAUAUAUGGAAGAACACCAGUGGCGAAAGCAGCUCUCUGGUCUGUAACUGACGCUGAGGUUCGAAAGCGUGGGUAGCAAACAGGAUUAGAUACCCCUGUAGUC